rnacentral:rRNA from 1 species
UACGGAGGGUGCGAGCGUUGUCCGGAAUCAUUGGGCGUAAAGGGCGCGUAGGUGGCCCGGUCAGUUCGUGGUGAAAGCGCGGGGCUCAACCCUGCGUCGGCCAUGAAUACUGCCGCGGCUGGAGCACUGUAGAGGCAGGCGGAAUUCCGGGUGUAGCGGUGGAAUGCGUAGAGAUCCGGAAGAACACCUGAGGCGAAGGCGGCUAUCUGGCGGUACAUUGACGCUGAUGCGCGAAAGCGUGGGGAGCAAACAGG